CCUACGGGGGGCAGCAGUGGGGAAUAUUGCACAAUGGGGGAAACCCUGAUGCAGCGACGCCGCGUGAAGGAAGAAGUAUUUCGGUAUGUAAACUUCUAUCAGCAGGGAAGAAAAUGACGGUACCUGACCAAGAAGCCCCGGCCAACUACGUGCCAGCAGCCGCGGUAAUACGUAGGGGGCCAGGGUUAUCCGGAUUUACCGGGUGUAAAGGGGGCGUAGGCGGCGUUGCAAGUCAGAAGUGAAAGCCCGGGGCUCAACUCCGGGACUGCUUUUGAAACUGGGUGGCUAGAUUGCAGGCGAGGUAAGUGGAAUUCGUGGUGUAGCGGUGAAAUGCGUAGAUAUUAGGAAGAACACCGGUGGCGAAGGCAGCUUACUGGACUGUAAAUGACGCUGAGGCUCGAAAGCGUGGGGAGCAAACAGGAUUAGAUACCCCAGUAGUC
rnacentral:rRNA from 1 species